CCAGGGAGAGACAAAGAGGGGUGGCAGGGCAGUAUGAGAAGGCUCUUUAGCAGUUAUCUUUUCCAGCUAGAGCAUCUUGGCCUACCUAGCAUCCCCACCCCUCCAGAGUGGUCCUUUGUGAUGUCUAAGCUCCCCUUAACCACCAUUGGCUGCAGUGAGUGCCCUGCUGACUAAACAGAGCAGAAGGGGUGUGACUCCCCAUUGUUCUGGGAGAGGUAUAUAUACAGAGGACAAACUCCUGGGGUUAGACAACUGAGAGGCUGCAAGAUGGCAAAAGUGAUGAAGAAAUCAUGGAAACCACAAACCACAAGCACCAAGCGGUGGAAGAAGAGGAAGACCACCUCUCAACCCAGAUCAAGAGGCAUUAGCAAGGUGCUAAAGACAUACAAGAAGAUGAAAAGAUCACUUCACAUGAGUUUAAGAAAAAAAUACUCUCCUAAAGUUAUAACUACUUCAAGAAGAAAGAAGAGAGCAAGGAGGGCCAAUUAGUUUCACCCAUAGACUGAGCCAAAAGCAGCCAGGCCAGACCCAACGGACUCUAUAGAACUACACCACUCCAAGACAAGACCGGUGGAAACACUACAUAUAGAGCAAGCUUCAGAGACCUCAGACGGUCUGCCUCUAGAGUCCUGGCUGCGGAGAAGUGGCCAACUGCGUAGAGACUGAUACAGAUGCUAAUAUGAAACAUGGAACACAAAUGGAGGUGAUUAAAAUAAAACCAACAGGGUGUAAGAAGCCCCUCCAAAAAAUAAAAUCAGGCAUUCUGCGUAGAAAUGAA